GUCUCAUGCAGCAGUGAACGAAGCUCCGGACCAAUACACUGCUUUCGCUGCCGGGAGGUGUGCAAAGGAGAGGUGGUACGAGUGCAGCAUGUGCACUUCCACAUCAAAUGCUUCACCUGCCAAGUGUGUGGCUGUGAUUUGGCACAUUCCGGAUUCUUCCAGAAGAGUGGUGAGUACAUCUGCACAGCAGACUACCAGCGCCUGUACGGAACAAAGUGUGACAGCUGUGAGGACUUUAUCUCAGGGGAGGUGGUCUCUGCUCUGGGCCGCACAUAUCAUCCACAGUGUUUCGUUUGCAGCGUGUGCAGGAAACCUUUUCCAAUUGGGGACAGAGUGACGUUCAGUGGUAAAGAAUGUGUCUGUCAGCACUGUUCCCUCAAACUGGUUAAUUCCAAUGAGCCAAUCAAAAUCCAUGGGCCCAGCCAGUGUGCAGGUUGUAAGGAGGAGAUCAAACAGGGUCAAUCUCUGCUGGCGUUAGAGAAACAGUGGCACGUCAGCUGCUUCAGGUGUCAGACCUGCGGCCUGGUCCUGACGGCCGAGUACAUCAGCAAAGACGGCGUUCCUUACUGUGAGUCAGACUACCAUGCCCAGUUUGGGAUAAAGUGUGAAACAUGCGACAGAUACAUCAGUGGACGUGUGCUGGAGGUGAGUCUACAUCCAAUCACAGGACCAUGUUUUGAACAAAUUGUUUUAGUGUGGCAUCCUGUGUGUAAACAAGCAUCUCGAGCAGAGAGGAAACUCAGACUCAGGCGCACAUCAGAAACCUCCAUCUCUCCGCCAGGCUCUAGCAUUAGUUCACCCAGCAGAGUCAUCUGUGCAAAAAUGGAGAACGAGAUCCUUUAUUACAAAGACUUGGCGGCGCUACCUAAGGUUAAAGCCAUUUAUGAAGUGCAGAGGCCAGACUUCUGGUCCUAUGAGCCAAGUCACAGAUACUGCUCCGAUGACAGGCUCAGCUAUGGGGAGUCUUUGGGCACACUCUCCCCUUAUUCUCAGGACAUGUAUGACAGUAUGGACAUGAGGAUUAGAAGAUCCUCCAGUCCGGGUUACAUAGACUCCCCCACCUACAGCAGACAGGGCAUGUCUCCCAUCAUGCCCCGCUCUCCACAGCACUACUACAGAUACGGCACUGAGAGUGGCAGAAGUUCACCCUAUUACAAUCAGCUAGAUGCCCGGUCCAGCACGCCCACCACAAACCCAGCUCCCAAGCAUUUCCAUGUGCCAGCCACAGGGGAGCCCAACAUCUACAGGAAGCCUCCCAUCUAUAAGAGACAUGCAACCAAGAGCAAGACCAGUGAAGACAUUGUCCAAUCUUCCAAAUUCCCAUCAGCCUACUCGCCUGAACACUACCAGCACUCAGAGUCUGAUUACUACCAUUACACCAGCUCUCCUAAAUCUUUACGUGCUAUUCGGAGAAGGUACUCAUCAGGUGGAGAAGAAGAUGGCUGGAGUCACGGCCUUCAAAGAAUUCAGGGUGGUAUCGGUAGGAUGAUCCUGAAGGAGGAGAUGAAAGCCCGCUCCGGUUCCUAUGACAACGACCCCUGGGGCAGCGCACGGAACUCCCGCAGUGGGAGCAGGGAGAUGUUGCACAGCAUGGGCCACAACAACACAGUUAACGGCUCUCCUCGGACAAACUUUGCACCGGAGAAUGACUACAUAUCCAAGUCAGCCUCUUUGCCCGGAUAUGGCAGGAAUGGAUUGCACAGGCCACAAAGUGCAGACUACUAUCAGUAUGACAGUGGCAGUGAAGUCAACUGGGGAAUCAGAGCACUUAUUGUGACCACUAGGGGGCGUAACAGGUUGCCAAAGGAUGUAGACCGGGCCAGAUUGGAGCGGCAUCUUUCCCCGGAGGAGUUCUAUCAGGUGUUUGGGAUGACGAUGGUUGAGUUUGACCGUCUGGCACUGUGGAAGAGGAACGAGAUGAAGAAACAAGCCCGGCUGUUCUAACAUUUCUGUCCCACACUCACACAGAGACCUGAAUACCUGUUCCAGUCUAACAUCCUCAGACACAUAGUCAUGCCUGGUCUGUACCUAGAAAUUGUGCAACUGUUCUUUGUGACAGAUGCAUAUAAAUGAUCAGACAGGCUAGAAUAAUUGACAAAGAAAAACAGAAAUAAAUAACAUAAACAGAAUGGUGGGAAUAUCUUA
ensembl:lncRNA